rnacentral:ncRNA from 1 species
UCCGUCUUACUCCAUUUCCAUAGGGCGGAGGGAGCCGUACAUAAAGGAGGAAAUCCGCCGGGCCGGCGGUGCGGCAGUGUGGAGACCUGUCGUAACGUGCCGGGAGGUUCGCUCUCCCCGCACAAGGGAGUUCCCGCGGAGGCGGGGCUUCUACGGCCCAUGCAUAUGGCA